rnacentral:lncRNA from 1 species
UAGGGACAUUGGUUAAGGUAGGGAAAUAUAGGCUAAGUGACUCAAAUAGAUCAAGAACACCAACCUUAUGACUUCACUAAUCAAGCAUGGAAUAAAUUCCAUCUUCCACCCAACUAUAUCACCAUAAACAACACAACUCAAGGGAUUUAAUCAUCACAAAAUAGAACUAAACACUCUUUUAUGCUCUCCAUUUAUUUCCAACAAACAAAGUCGAUUCUCUAACAGAUUUCUCAAUAAACACUCGACUUUAUACUUUUAUCUUUUCUUUCUUUUCUCUUUUUUUUCUUUUUUUUUCAACUAUUUUUUUUCUUUUCUUUUCUAACUUUUUUUUUUUUCUUUUCUUUUCACAACUUUUCUAGAGCUUAUAAGAGUAAAUAGUAGCACAAUAUCAUCCCUUCUUUUUCACAACCCACUAUGAUAUUCACCACACAAAGAUUCUCAUAUACUACAUCACCCCUAUCAUCCGGCUAGAGAAUAAAAACUAAAUAGGCUCAAAGUGGAUAACAAAGGAUAAAUUUUUCGUUAAGGACAGUGUUUGGGAAAAUAAUGUGGCUAACAAAAGAUGGCCUAAAAUCAUCUCCUAAUCCUGGGCACAACAGCAACCUCGACACAGAAACCAUGGCAAGUUCUAGAAGAUCACCACAUGCAUGACAAAACUCACAACAAAGAAUAAAUUGUGUAUGAUAAACAAUUAUGGCUCAAAAUCUCACAGAUUUAUUCAACGUCUAAAAGUCAAGGUCAAAAUCACUCUAGAAUUAUGCAAAUUAGUUCCAAUUAUGCUCAAAUCAUCAAAGAAAAUCAAACUCCAAUUUUUUUUUUCCACAGAAAUCAUCAUUGGCAUCUUACCAGAAAUCUAAUGGAGCUAACAAAAUCACACACCACCAACCAAGCAAGAUAAAACAAUAAAGCCAACAAAAAGAAUAAAAGUGAUACACAUAUCUACUCUCACCCCCCUCCCCCAAACUUAUUACAGAACAUAAGUUCGAAAAUAAGUUUGGAGGGAUGAUGAUAUGUGUGUCACUACUCACAGAAACACAUGCUCCAAGGUGGUAGUAUGGACAAGGCGCGAGUUCCCGCAUCUUCCAAGCUCAACACUGCACUAAACUCUCAAACAAAACAAAGAAACACAAAGAAACAAAAAGAAACAAAAAGACGAAAAACAAACAAAGAAGAAAAAUAGUUGGGUUACCUCCCAACAAGUGCUUAAUUUAACGUCUAGAGCUCGACGAUACCUCAUGGUCU